AUUUUAGAAGUUAUGAAUAUGCUGUAAAAACUGUAUUAUUUCUGGCCAGCAGAUAAUUGAGCUUUGUGUAUUGUAGAAACUCAAUUAUCUAGCCUGGCCCAUAGGAGGAGUUUUGUGUUGCAUAAAUUGUGAGUUCUGUGUGCCAGUAAAUCAGUCUUGUUCCAGCAUUAAGCUUUGGCUCAUGUUUGGGGGAUUGGAGAAAUACACUCUGG